GAUGAACGCUGGCGGCGUGCCUAAUACAUGCAAGUCGAGCGAACAGACGCGGAUCUUGCUGCUCUGACGUUAGCGGCGGACGGGUGAGUCACACGUGUAUAACCUACCUAUAAGACUGGGAUAACUUCGGGACACCGGCGCUAAUACCGGAUAAUAUAUUGCACCGCAUUGUUCAAUAGUGAAAUACGGUUUUGGUGUCACGUAUAGAUGGUUCCGAGCCGCUUUAGCUGGUUGGUAAGGUAACGGCUUACCACGGCAACGAUUCGUAGCCGACCUCCGGGGGUGGUCGGCCACCCUGGAGCUGAGACACGGUCCAGAGUCCUACGGGAGGCAGCAGUAGGCAAUCUUCCGCAACAGUCGAAAGCUUGACGGAGCAACGCCGCGUCAGUUGUGAAGGUCCUGGGAUCGUAAAGCUCUGCUAUUAGGGAAGAACAAAUGUGUAAGUAACUAUGCACGUCUUGACGGUACCUAAUCAGAAAGCAACGGCUAACUACGUG
rnacentral:rRNA from 1 species